CGGGUGAGUAACACGUGGGUGACCUGCCCCAUAGUGGGGGAUAACGACCCGAAAGGGUCGCUAAUACCGCAUAACAUCCUGCGUUUAGAGACGCGGAGAUCAAAGCCCUGGUCGCAAGACCUGGCGCUUGGAGAGGGGCCCGCGGCCGAUUAGCUAGUUGGUGAGGUAACGGCUCACCAAGGCAACGAUCGGUAUCCGGCCUGAGAGGGCGGACGGACACACUGGGACUGAGACACGGCCCAGACUCCUACGGGAGGCAGCAGUGGGGAAUUGUUCGCAAUGGGCGCAAGCCUGACGACGCAACGCCGCGUGGAGGAUGAAGAUCUUCGGGUCGUAUUCUCCUUUCGAUCGGGAAGAACGUUUCCGGGGUAAAUAAUCCCGGGAAGUGACGGUACCGAGAGAAGAAGCCCCGGCUAACUCCGUGCCAGCAGCCGCGGUAAUACGGGGGGGGGCAAGCG
rnacentral:rRNA from 1 species